rnacentral:rRNA from 1 species
GUCGAACGCUUCUUUUUCCACCGGAGCUUGCUCCACCGGAAAAAGAGGAGUGGCGAACGGGUGAGUAACACGUGGGUAACCUGCCCAUCAGAAGGGGAUAACACUUGGAAACAGGUGCUAAUACCGWAUAACAAUCAAAACCGCAUGGUUUUGAUUUGAAAGGCGCUUUCGGGUGUCGCUGAUGGAUGGACCCGCGGUGCAUUAGCUAGUUGGUGAG